rnacentral:rRNA from 1 species
GAUGAACGCUGGCGGCGUGCCUAAUACAUGCAAGUCGAGCGAACGGACGAGAAGCUUGUUUCUCUGAUGUUAGCGGCGGACGGGUGAGUAACACGUGGAUAACCUACCUAUAAGACUGGGAUAACUUCGGGAAACCGGAGCUAAUACCGGAUAAUAUUUUUAACCGCAUGGUUCAAAAGUGAAAGACGGUCUUGCUUUCACUUAUAAAUGUAUCCGCUCUUCAUUAGCUAUUUGGUAAGGUAACGGCGUACCAAGGCAACGAUGCAUAGCCGACCUGAGAGGGUGUAGGGGCCAAUGGGAACUGGACAAGGAUAAAGACCCCACGGGGAGGCACCAGAAGGAAAUUUUACGCAAUGGGCAAAAGCAUGACGGGGAAAAGCAGGGGGAGGGAUGAAGUUAUUCGGAUAGUAAAACUCUGUUAUUGAGAAAGAAGAUAUGUGUAAGUAAAUGUGCACAUCUUGACGGUACCUAAUCAGAAAGCGACGGCUAACUACGUG